rnacentral:rRNA from 1 species
GAUGAACGCUGGCGGCGUGCUUAACACAUGCAAGUCGAACGGAAAGGCUCCUGCUUGCCGGGGUACUCGAGUGGCGAACGGGUGAGUAACACGUGGGUGAUCUGCCCUGCACUUCGGGAUAAGCCUGGGAAACUGGGUCUAAUACCGGAUAGGACCACAUUUUGGAUGGUGUGGUGGAAAGUUUUUCGGUGUGGGAUGAGCUCGCGGCCUAUCAGCUUGUUGGUGGGGUAAUGGCCUACCAAGGCGUCGACGGGUAGCCGGCCUGAGAGGGUGUACGGCCACAUUGCGACUGAGAUACGGCCCAGACUCCUACGGGAGGCAGCAGUGGGGAAUAUUGCACAAUGGGCGCAAGCCUGAUGCAGCGACGCCGCGUGGGGGAUGACGGCCUUCGGGUUGUAAACUCCUUUCGCUAGGGACGAAGCGCAAGUGACGGUACCUGGAGAAGAAGCACCGGCUAACUACGUG